rnacentral:rRNA from 1 species
AUUGAACGCUGGCGGCAGGCCUAACACAUGCAAGUCGAACGAGUGGCGGACGGGUGAGUAAUGUAUGGGGAUCUGGCUGAUGGAGGGGGAUAACUACUGGAAACGGUAGCUAAUACCGCGUACCAUAGGAUGAGCCCAUAUGGGAUUAGGUAGUAGGUGAGGUAAAGGCUCACCUAGGCGACGAUCUCUAGCUGGUCUGAGAGGAUGACCAGCCACACUGGGACUGAGACACGGCCCAGACUCCUACGGGAGGCAGCAGUGGGGAAUAUUGCACAAUGGGGGCAAGCCUGAUGCAGCCAUGCCGCGUGUAUGAAGAAGGCCUUCGGGUUGUAAAGUACUUUCAGUCGGGAGGCGUUACCUGCAGAAGAAGCACCGGCUAACUCCGUGCCAGCAGCCGCGGUAAUAC